UUAAAUUGAAGAGUUUGAUCAUGGCUCAGAUUGAACGCUGGCGGCAGGCCUAACACAUGCAAGUCGAACGGUAACAGGAAGCACUUGCUG
rnacentral:rRNA from 1 species